rnacentral:rRNA from 1 species
AAUAUUGGACAAUGGGGGCAACCCUGAUCCAGCCACGCCGCGUGUGUGAAGAAGGCUUUCGGAUUGUAAAGCACUUUAAGUUGGGAGGAAGGGCGUUAGGUUAAUACACUGAAGUUUUGACGUUACUGACAGAAUAAGCACGGGCUAACUCUGUCCCAGCAGCCGAGGUAAUACAGAGGGUGCAAGCGUUAAUCGGAAUUACUGGUCGUAAAGCGCGCGUAGGUGGUUCAGUAAGAUAGGUGUGAAAUCCCCGGGCUUAACCUGGGAACUGCUUUCAUAACUGCUGAGCUAGAGUACGGUAGAGGGUAGUAGAAUUUCCUGUGUAGCGGUGAAAUGCGUAGAUAUAGGAAGGAACACCAGUGGCGAAGGCGACUACCUGGACUGAUACUGACACUGAGGUGCGAAAGCGUGGGGAGCAAACA